rnacentral:sRNA from 1 species
GCUGGGUGUGGUGUCGCACGCCUGUAAUUCCAGUACUUUGGGAGGCCGAGGUGGGUGGAUCACCUGAGGUCGGGAGUUUGAGACCAGCCUGGCCAACAUGGUGAAACCCCAUCUCUA